rnacentral:rRNA from 1 species
CCUUGGGUGAUCCCGCCGGACCUGACUGCUAUCGGAUUGGUACUAAGCCAUGCGAGUCAUUGUAGCAAUACAAGGCGGACGGCUCAGUAACACGUAGUCAACCUAACUCGUGGACGUGGAUAACCUCGGGAAACUGAGAAUAAACCACGAUAGAUCAUAGUGCCUGGAAUGGCUUAUGGUCCAAACAGUUUACUGCCAUGGGAUGGGACUGCGGCCUAUCAGCUUGUUGGUGAGGUAAUGGCCCACCAAGGCGAUUACAGGUACGGGCUCUGAGAGGAGAAGCCCGGAGAUGGGUACUGAGACACGGACCCAGGCCCUAUGGGGCGCAGCAGGCGAGAAACCUUAGCAAUGUGCGAAAGCACGACUGGGUCAGUCCGAGUGAUUCCUGAUAAAGGAGUCUUUUGCUUGUCCUAAAAGCACAGGUGAAUAAGGGGUGGGCAAGUCUGGUGUCAGCCGCCGCGGUAAUACCAGCACCUCGAGUGGUCAGGACGUUUAUUGGGCCUAAAGCAUCCGUAGCCGGCUCUGCAAGUCUUCGGUUAAAUCCACCUGCUCAACAGAUGGGCUGCUGGAGAUACUACAGAGCUAGGGAGUGGGAGAGGCAGACGGUAUUCAGUGGGUAGGGGUAAAAUCCUCUGAUCCAUUGAGGACCACCAGUGGCGAAGGCGGUCUGCCAGAACACGUUCGACGGUGAGGGAUGAAAGCUGGGGGAGCAAACCGGAUUAGAUACCCGGGUAGUCCCAGCUGUAAACGAUGCAAACUCGGUGAUGCAUUGGCUUAUGGCCAAUGCAGUGCCGCAGGGAAGCCGUUAAGUUUGCCGCCUGGGAAGUACGGACGCAAGUCUGAAACUUAAAGGAAUUGGCGGGGGGAGCA